rnacentral:lncRNA from 1 species
UUUGAGCUUCAGAAAUUUAGAAUACAGUCAAAUCCACUUAAAUGACUUUGAAAGGGUCGGCAAUGUGCAGCCACAGUGAUGGAAUCUGGGACAGUCUCUUCCUUCCACCUCUCUGUGACCUCUGGGAUUUUGGACACAGUUUGAUGCAUCUUCAAGGUAUGCACCUACUUUAGUCACUUUCCCAUCACGGGACAAGAUACCUGACAUCCACAACUUAAAGGUGGAGGGGUUUAUUUUGACUCAUGGUUUAAGUUCAUGGUCAGCCAGCUCCAAGCCAGAAAUGGCAUGGUGGAAGGGCCUGGCUGAAGAAAACCUGUCCACAUCACGAUGGCCAGGAAGAGAGAAAGAAGAAGCAGCUGAGGAGGGAGAAGCCCCCUUCCAGGACCCACCCCAGUGACCCCCUCUCCUGACCAGGAUCCACCUCCUAACAGCACAGUCAGCUAUGAUUCACCAGUGGAAUGUCAGAAAAUAAAAGAAGCAAUGGUUGCAGAAUGAGCAGACCCAGGGCAUCCAUACCUUGAGCAAGAACAGCACAGCCACUCUGCAAACCUUACCUGGAGUCUGAAGGCCAGAGGGACAGGAAGCAGCAGAGGCUGAUCCCAUUCAGUGCUGAGGGCCA